UACGAAGGGGGCAAGCGUUGUUCGGAAUUACUGGGCGUAAAGGGCGCGUAGGCGGCCGAUCAAGUCAGGCGUGAAAUUCCCGGGCUCAACCUGGGGGCUGCGCUUGAUACUGAUUGGCUUGAAUGCGGGAGAGGAUAGUGGAAUUCCCAGUGUGGAGGUGAAAUUCGUAGAUAUUGGGAAGAACACCGGUGGCGAAGGCGGCUAUCUGGCCCGUAAUUGACGCUGAGGCGCGAAAGCGUGGGGAGCAAACAGG
rnacentral:rRNA from 1 species